GACAGAGGUGCCAAGCGUUAGGCGGAAUCACUGGGCUUAAAGCGCGUGUAGGUGGCGGCCUAAGUACCUUGUGAAAUCCCACGGCUCAACCGUGGAACUGCUUGGUAUACUGGGUCGCUUGAGUCAUCCAGGGGCAACUGGAACAAGCGGUGGAGCGGUGAAAUGCGUAGAUAUCGCUUGGAACGCCAAAGGUGAAAACAGGUUGCUGGGGAUGUUCUGACACUGAGACGCGAAAGCAUGGGGAGCGAACAGG
rnacentral:rRNA from 1 species